rnacentral:miRNA from 1 species
CGGAUGAUACCAAACUCU